ensembl:lncRNA
AUGAGGUUUCCUGAGGUGGUACCAUGGGGGGAGAUUUCAGGACAGUUUUGGAAGACUACACAGAGAACAACUUGGAUCCCAGUGCGAAUGAACAGACGUGAUUUACAAGAUUCUGAUACCUGCUGGUCAUAUGAGAAAAAGGUUAAUUUGCUGGAGGAAAUCAUGUCUGUGCCAGAGAAGGUCAGCUUGCUCCAUCAUCAUGUACUGCUGUCAGAAGCUGACCUGGACUCAUACAACUUGGUUGAAUGGAAAAAUUAGACAUUUUGAUUUUUUUCAGCAUUGUGCCUGCAGAAUUUCUGUUUUCUCCAAGGGUUUUCAGACCUUCACCAGAAAGGAAGGACUGUAUGACCCAUUUCAGUUACUCUGAUGUCUCAUUACCCAGUUCAGCAUCAAUAGCCCAAUCUCGUUUCGAAUGAUGUAAAAUUUCUGAUAGCUGAUUAUUGUAUUCUAAAACUACUAAUUUAAUCCUAAAUUGUGCCAGACUCAUGCUUUCUCCAAUCCUCCACAUGACCACAGGCCAAAACAACCCGUGAUAUAUCACAGAAUAGCUUAAGUGCUGCUUAAGUUGCUGUGGUUAGCACAGUUCUUGGAACUAUUUUGCUGGCCCAUGACCAGGCAAGGUGCUGGAUGCUCCCAGCUCACCACUCCUGCUCUUGCCAUGACCACCCCACAAAGGCUGAAUGCUUGAAACUCACAGUGCCAUCAAUGGGAGUAGUAAUUCUGAAGAGCACCUCUAAGACCUGCCCCCUAGUAAAUUGAUGGUGUUAGGAAUAGUAAAUGAGCGAGUGAAUAAGUAAGAUGGUCUGAGAAGAAAUAAGAUAUUUCAAGUGGCACCCUACCAGCAAAUGCUCUAGACAUCUGUGGUCUAGACUUGAGGUAAAAACAUGGCAUCAAAUGCAAAUCUUAGUGACAUAAUGAGCGAAAUCCUGUUAGCCUUACUCAGUAACUUCAGUGAGACUAUCUGUACAGGAUAAGGCCAGGAGGAUUUGGCCCAAAAAUGAUUUCAUGGCACACUGGUGGAAUCAAUUGCAUGAUAAUAGCACUUUAUCAAAAACUGAUAAAGAAUUGCUUCUCCAACAGAACAUGUUUAUGUUAAAUGUAACAGAGGCUGUAUGUCUAUUGACUGUAUCUAUCUACCUAUCUAUUAUGCACCCAGCACCCACGGUAUCUGAACACAGCAAAAUGAUUUAGCAUACUGGCAAACUAAAAGACUAUAUUCGUCACCCUUUCCUUGUAUGCUCCAGGGAGUGUUCUUGACUUUUCCAUUCCAUAUAUUUAUUUAUUUGCCUUUCCUCUCAUCUAUUUAUGUUCAUACAACAUGAUCAUCACAUGACUUCUGAGCAUCUAUUUUGUAUCUUAUUCUAUCUUCAGGAAUGAGAGUAUGGACUGUCCUUGGAAUGUUACAGGGGGAAAGCUAUUAUCAAGAGAGGUGAUCAAAUAUUGUAACUACAUUUUUGUUUAGUUAAUUACAUUUUGCAAUGUUGUAUUGAGGUUAAAAACUGGUGUUACUUGAACAUAUUAUGUAUAUCCUACCCAUAGUCAUUGUAUUGACUAUUUUAAUCAUUUUUAUUAUUGCUAUACAGUAUUAAAUUAUGGCAUCGGUGAUAUCACUGUUAUGUUUUGUUCCUCUUCUCAGUUGAGCAGUUUGGGAUAGAUUAUUUCAUAUUAUUUUGGUUUAAGAUAAAGCUCCCCUCCUGCAAACCCUUAUUGGUACGCUUAGACAUAGACUUCAAUAGGGUGAACAGACUUUCACGGCACAACUUUUGGGAAUAAAUUACUCACAUCGGUUUGCA